rnacentral:rRNA from 1 species
GCCAGCAGCCACAUCAUCCUGCAAUUCAAAACUGACAACCCACUGAAGCUCAGCGGGUAUGAGCCUGCCAAGUACCUGGAUGGAAGACCCCCUGAGAAAAACUAAGGGUGCUGCUGGAA